rnacentral:rRNA from 1 species
AACGAACGCUGGCGGCAUGCCUAACACAUGCAAGUCGAACGAGACCUUCGGGUCUAGUGGCGCACGGGUGCGUAACGCGUGGGAAUCUGCCCUUAGGUACGGAAUAACUCAGGGAAACUUGAGCUAAUACCGUAUAAUGACUCCGGUCCAAAGAUUUAUCGCCUAAGGAUGAGCCCGCGUCGGAUUAGCUAGUUGGUGAGGUAAAAGCUCACCAAGGCGACGAUCCGUAGCGGUCUGAGAGGAUGAUCAGCCACACUGGGACUGAGACACGGCCCAGACUCCUACGGGAGGCAGCAGUGGGGAAUAUUGGACAAUGGGCGAAAGCCUGAUCCAGCAAUGCCGCGUGAGUGAUGAAGGCCUUAGGGUUGUAAAGCU